GUCAAGUCAGAGUUAUCAAUUGUCAAACGACAACGUGAGAAAAUUUAUUUAUUUUUAUUUUUUCUCUUUAACAUUUAUACAUUAUUUACGUUAUUUAAACAAUUUUUAUGACUUCAUGCUGUUGUAAUAAAAAGUAAUAUACAAUGACUGCUGAAGUAGCAACUCGUUCUAAAGAUUGUACGCCGUGCAGACUAUUCGGAGCCGCUGGUUUGGUGGGUAUUGGCGGAUAUUUAGCAAAUGCUGCGUGGAAAAACAAAACAUUUGCCGGGAAAUACACUGUCUCAAUUCUUUCCUUUGGUUUCAUCUGGCUUGGUAUACAAAGAUAUAAACAGGCAUUCCCUUUUAACAAAAAGGAAACUCAGAGUUAAAUGAUUAAAAACAACUCUUAUUAGUAAAAAGUAUAUACUGUUAAGUAUAUUACAUAUAUUCUGAAAUAUGUGAUAAUAUAUCAUUAAGUCUUCAAUGUAA